rnacentral:rRNA from 1 species
UACAGAGGGUGCGAACGUUGCUCGGAAUUACUGGGCGUAAAGCGCGUGUAGGCGGAUCGGCAAGUCAGGCGUGAAAUCCCCCAGGCUCAACCUGGGAACUGCGCUUGAAACUGCCGGUCUUGAGUGUCGGAGAGGGUGGCGGAAUUCCUGGUGUAGAGGUGAAAUUCGUAGAUAUCAGGAGGAACACCGGUGGCGAAGGCGGCCACCUGGACGACAACUGACGCUGAGACGCGAAAGCGUGGGGAGCA